GAUGAACGCUAGCGGCAGGCUUAAUACAUGCAAGUCGUGGGGCAGCGCAGGUAGCAAUACUGGGCGGCGACCGGCAAACGGGUGCGGAACACGUACACAACCUUCCGAGAAGUGGGGAAUAGCCCAGAGAAAUUUGGACUAAUACCCCGUAACAUAACGAUGUGGCAACACAUUGUUAUUAUAGCUUAGGCGCUUCUUGAUGGGUGUGCGGCUGAUUAGCUAGUUGGCGGGGUAACAGCCCACCAAGUCUACGAUCAGUAGCUGAUGUGAGAGCAUGAUCAGCCACACGGGCACUGAGACACGGGCCCGACUCCUACGGGAGGCAGCAGUAAGGGAUAUUGGUCAAUGGACGCAAGUCUGAACCAGCCAUGCCGCGUGAAGGAUUAAGGUCCUCUGGAUUGUAAACUUCUUUUAUCUGGGACGAAAAAAGGCGAUUCUUCGUCACUUGACGGUACCAGAUGAAUAAGCACCGGCUAACUCCGUGCCAGCCGCCGCAGUAAUAC
rnacentral:rRNA from 1 species